GAUGAACGCUGGCGGCGUGCCUAAUACAUGCAAGUCGAGCGAACGGACGAGAAUCUUGCUUCUCUGAUGUUAGCGGCGGACGUGAGAGUAACACGUGGAUAACGUACCUAUAAUACUGGGAUAAUUACGGGAAACCGGAUCUAAUACCAGAUAAUAUUCUGAACCGCAUGGGUCAAAAGUGAAAUACGGUCGUUCUGUCACUUAUAGAUGCAUCCGCGCUGCAUGAGCUAGUUGGGAAGGUAACGGCUUACCAAGGCAAGUAUGCAUAGCCGACCUGAGGGGGUGAUCGGCCACCCUGGAACUGAGACAGGUUCAAGACUCCUACGGGAGGCAGCAGUAGGGAAUCUUACGCAAUGGGGGAAAGCCUGACGGAGCAACGCCGCGUGAGUGAUGACGGUCUUCGGAUCGUAAAACUCUGUUAUUAGGGAAGAACAUAUGUGUACGUAACUGUGCACAUCUUGACGGUACCUAAUAAGAAAGCCACGGCUAACUACGUG
rnacentral:rRNA from 1 species